UGGGGAAUAUUGGACAAUGGGCGAAAGCCUGAUCCAGCCAUGCCGCGUGUGUGAAGAAGGUCUUCGGAUUGUAAAGCACUUUAAGUUGGGAGGAAGGGCAGUAAGCGAAUACCUUGCUGUUUUGACGUUACCGACAGAAUAAGCACCGGCUAACUCUGUGCCAGCAGCCGCGGUAAUACAGAGGGUGCAAGCGUUAAUCGGAAUUACUGGGCGUAAAGCGCGCGUAGGUGGUUCGUUAAGUUGAAUGUGAAAGCCCCGGGCUCAACCUGGGAACUGCAUCCGGAACUGGCGAGCUAGAGUAGGGCAGAGGGGGGUGGAAUUUCCUGUGUAGCGGUGAAAUGCGUAGAUAUAGGAAGGAACACCAGUGGCGAAGGCGACCACCUGGGCUCAUACUGACACUGAGGUGCGAAAGCGUGGGGAGCAAACAGG
rnacentral:rRNA from 1 species